AGGGUCGCCCUUGCUCGAGCCGUUACCACCGAAUUAGAUAGAACUUUAGAUUCGGUCACAGCUGCUGCGG
rnacentral:ribozyme from 1 species